UAUGCUUUAAGAAGCCGCUAUAAAUAUGUGCUUUACAUUAACCAAGCACUUCACACACUGCCCGAGGAAGAGCUUUGCUGCAGGGUCUGCACAAGGUUUUACACCACCCUUGGCAAGCCAAAACCUGCCGACCUAACUAGUCACAGCAGGGAAUUCCCCAGAGUCCACCUUUCCCUAAAUAAAACCUCCCUCGGUAUCGUAGGUGCCCUCGGAGCAGACCCGGGAGCUUUGCAGCACCGCACAUCUCCUCAGGCGCUGCGAAACCUCAUAACACCGCCAGCCUUCAUCUUCCUCCUCUUCCUCCGAGCUCAGCCCAGCGACCAGCCUCCUCUUUACCCUCCAUCCCCCCCCGGCACCCUUCCCCUCGCGACAUUUAUCACACUCGGAGGUGUAAAUACAGAGGCCGACGAGUUGUCGUCGACGCCAUCGCCCCCCCCCCGCGCGAGCCGCCCGAGCCGGGCCCUGCCGGACGCCGGGCGCUUGGCGCCAUCUUGCGGCCCCACAGCCGGGGCGAGAGCCCGGGGGGCGCGGAGGGGAACGGGAGGGCUCUGGAGGCCGGAGCCGAGGCCUGGCUCCCCCCUGCCGCCCCGGUGUCACCGGCAGCGUGGUGGAAAGGCCUCCCGAGGGAAAGUUAACGUCAGACCCUCACGUCCUCACGUUUCAGCUUUCGAGGCUUUAGCCAUGGUGAGCUGUUUAUGGAUUCUGUCGUCCAACCAUGCUGCUGCAGCUUAGGCCUUGAAGUGCUUUGUUGUGACUGCUGACAAGAAAUAUAUUGCAAAAUCCUCAGAUGAUCAGUUCACGGGAGCAUUUCCUCAGCGCACACAUUGGAACUGAAUUGACUACAUCUGGAUUAAUUCACACUUCCAGCAAUUCUGGUACAAAUCUAUGUGAGGACAAAAUUAAGAGGCUUGACUUAGUUUAAGGAGUUGUUUGUUGUUGUGUUUUUUUAAGUAGCUUUAAUUAAGUCAAGAUAGGAAAUUCUCACUCCUAAGUGUGUGUUUGCACAUAAACUUACAAUGAAGUAUGUGCAGCUGUGAAGGAAAACAGAUUCAGUUACCCUUAUAAAAUAGAUCAACUCAGUGUCAAAAGUCUGCUUGCAUCUUUGCUGAAAAUCCCUGUGCAUCUUGCUGCCCUGGUGGAGGAGCACUGGGGGACCUGCCAUGCACCAUGGCCUGGCCUGGGAGGAGGUAUCUGAAGACAGAGAAGCUCAGACCUUUCUUGUGGGACAUCAACUCGCAGUGUGGCAGCCAGGGAGUCAAACUAGCUGGGCUGCCUUUUGGAAACAUCUACUGAAACAUCUACUGACACCAUCCUGCCAGUCGGCCGAAUCAUCUCUGAGAAACAUCUCCUUUGUUGGCAGGAAAGUGUGUGUGUUUCAGCAGCACUGUAAAUAAAUGACUUUGGCACUAGGAAUUAAGAAAGCA
rnacentral:lncRNA from 1 species